GUAUUUACUGGGGAUGAUAUUUGAGCAUGAGUUGUGAUGAUGUUCCACUGGCAAGAUCUAAUCAGAGAGCAAGAACUUAUUAGCUGCCACUGAGCUUUCUACUCAACAGCCAGUCUUCCAACUUUCUCAUGCAAGCAAUUUCUAGGCAAGUCCUAAUUUCUUCUAAUCAAACAAUAGAAGAUACACAAACUCAGAGAUAAGUUUUCUCUGAAUUAUUAACUUUGAUGGCAGAUUGCUUCAGUUUUACCAACAGAAGAUACACAUUACAGCGAUAGUGUUUGUCCAGAAAUAUGUGUCCUGAACACUAGUUCUGAGCAAGCAAAAGGGGAGAAGAAUACACAAGGUAAGAACCUCCUCUCUGUUUGAAUUGCUUCAGUGAAGUUUCAUAUCUCCCCUACCACUAGCCAUUCUCCAUCUGAAUAAUCCCAGGACAUCCCAACCACAUAAAAGUUCAUAUCACCAGCCUCAUCACUGUCAGGGCUAAAUGGCUCUACCUCUUCAACUUUGGCACCCUUACAUCCCACCUCCAAGUCAAUAGUCUCGGGAGAAACUUCUCCAUAGCCGUAAUCUAGAUUUUCCUCCAUGUUAUGAUUGUCAUAAUCUUCUCCUUCACACAAACUAUCGGCAUAUAAAUGAUUGAGAGUCUCACUUGCAGAAGCAACUUUAUAAUUCGGCAAACUUGUGCUGUUGUUCACCACCCGCCAUGCCACCAGUUGGUGAUUGAGCACCACAUCACAAGAUUUUAGCUUAUAUGCACCUUUGGCCUUGUCCCUGGACUUGGACAUUGGAUUGGAAUGGCAGCC
rnacentral:lncRNA from 1 species